rnacentral:lncRNA from 1 species
AGCUAAGGAUCGGAAUAUUUGAACACAAAAAAGAAAAAAAAGGAAAAACAUAUGGCUAAGAUCAGUGUGACACUUCCAAUUACAAUGUUGAUAAUUGAAAUGCUUAUUUGUUCUACCAAUGCUGCUGAAUCCUAUAACAUUGUAUUCAUGAAUGAUUAUAUUUCAUCUACAAUGACACAGUUCAGGAUGCAAUGCCAAAAACAUUAUCCGUAUCAUCUAGUAAAGAGGACAAAAUGCAUUCAAGAAUGUUGCAACACUGAAUGUUACAAACUCCAUCAAUAUGAUCUGAAAAGAUAUGUUGAAUGCAUUAAGGUUCUUUAUGCUUUGUAUAUCAGAUAAUUUAUUAACGGUAAAUAUCUAAGUUACUUUUAAUCCGUUUAAGAUUUUUUGUGAGC